GGUCUAAUAGUGUAGAGGUUAUCACACGGGAUUUUGAUGGUCCAAAUAUUUCCCGUAACCCAGGUUCGAGUCCUGGUUAGACCU